AACCCUUAUUUCAAAUACUAGAUGUAAUGCAAAAUGAGGAAACAACAGCAGACAAAUCCCAGUGCUGAUACGAGACAGAUAUGAAACAACUAAGAAAAGAAGGGGAAUCUAUAAGAGGCCCACAUAUGUGUAUGGAAAUACAAAUUAUUCUGCUAACUACAGAGCGAAUCUUAAAGCGGAUCUGCAACUCGCUGAUUUUAAUCAGGCUAGGUACAAAGAUCUAAACCAUUUUGGUUGAGAUUAUAGCAGCUAUGAGGAUAGACCCGCCUGGAACUUCUGACCAAAUAGUUGUUGCAAUGAGCCAGAAUGCUUAAACACUAGCACCAUGAAACCUAGCUGGAUGCCACAGAUAUCCCAAUCACAGGGAAAUGUUGCCGUAUACCCAGAUGUCAAGACUGAGGCCCAAAAGACAACCUUAACGUCAAGGGCCUGUUUAUUGAAAAUCCUUUCAUGGAACAUAGCUGGUUGGGCCUCCAGACAGGGUGACCCAGGAAUAUUCGAUUAUCUAAGAUUACACGAUAUAAUUGCAGUACAGGAAACCUGGAGCACUGAUAAUAUUAGUUUGAAUGGCUAUCUGGUACUUAACAGCUAUGCAGUUCCUAGCAGUGGAAAGGGCCGCCCCAAAGCAGGGAUGGCUCUAAUGUUCUCUACUGCUAUGGAGGCUAGGGUCAAAUCGCUUCCACCCUGUGACAAAAUUGCUAUGGCUGCCUUACUUGUUAUCAGGUCAAGCUUUUAUCUGAUCAUCAAUGCUUAUAUUCCUCCAUUGUCUUCUAAAAAUCAAAUAACUCAAAUGUGGAACCAAUUGGAACUUUAUAUUACAAACUUAGAAUCUAUAGUCCCUAAUGCAUAUGUGAUACUUAUGGGAGACCAGAAUGCAAGAACUGGAUCGAAUAAUGACAUCUUUUACCCUUCCAAUGUCUGGGGUACAGACUCUGUAGAGAACCAUACUCUGAUGAAUUAUAGAACAUCAAAAGAUUUGAAGAUCAAUUAUAGUGGGAUAUGCCUGGCACAGAUGGCAGAAUGCCUUACUCUUGAAAAUGUAAAUGG
rnacentral:lncRNA from 1 species